rnacentral:lncRNA from 1 species
CGAGGGGUCCGACCUAGCCCGAAAGCGAGCUCUGGGGCUUUCUCCUGUCGUACUGGCCACUACCUGAGUCCAGGUUGGGGCAACAGAACUACAGUUACGGAAGAAAAGUACACAUUAUUCCACUUCUUCCUUCCGCAACGCACCCUUUCCUGAGCUUUCUACCCCCCUGAACCUGCCCAGCUGGAUGCGACGUCCCAGGGGCUCAUGGUGAAGCUAGCUGGUCAGUCUGGCUGAUCCUAGGUGCUUGCCAGAUGUCGAAACCGCUGAUAGCCCUAGCACUCAACCCACGGGAGGUCACAGGGACAAAGCAGAUAGGAAAAAGAGACUGAAAUGGAGCAGCCAGUGCAGCAGGAGGAGCACAGUUUUGAGGUUUCUCAUUUUCUUUUUUAAAUCACGACAACUAAAGGGCAACAACAGCGGCUGGAGUUACGUUUGUCAGACAUUUUAGGUUAGUUUUCCCCUUUGCAUGACCAGGAUCCAAUGACAGCACCCAGCUGGGUACAUGUUGAGAUUGCCACCCACUGGUGA